UUUAUUUUAACUUUCAUAUUUUAUAUUAUUUUAUCAGUAUCUAUUCUAAUGGAUACCAUGGAAGAAGCAUACAAAAAGCCUUAAUUAUAAAUGUUAUUUUACUUUGUGAGGAAAACAAAGCAAAUCAACAAAUUAUAUAAACAAAAAUAUUCAGCAAAGAAGUACCAUUAGAUAUGACACCAACUGUGGUAUAAAAACAAACCAUGAAUAUGUGUGUGAUUCUGCCCUCAUUCCNNNNNNNNNNNNNNNNNNNNNNNNNNNNNNNNNNNNNNNNNNNNNNNNAUGCCUCUUUCAUUAUUGUGUUAUAAAGUGACUCCUGAAGAAUUUUGUUUCUUGAGACCGCAUUUGAUCAUAAGCAGAAUUUGGCCCUAAUUAAAAUAGGAUUAUCAUGGGAUACUAUAUCAAAGAAAUGUGCUUCUGAGGUAGGUAUUCUUUUACCUAUUUUCGGUGGGUAUUCUUUUACCUAUUUUCCUUUAAUAGAUAUAAUGAAGGCCAGAACAUAUGACCCUUUUCAAAUAACAACUCUUUGGAAAAUAUAUCUGGCCUUGGUAAACAGAUUUUUAUGUUCAAAUGGAAGAUUAAAUGAGCCUUACUCUUUGGAAAAUAUGUCUGGCUUUGGCAAACAGAUUUUUAUGUUUGAAUGGAAGAUUAAAUUAGCCUUAGCCAUUUCUUAAUGCAUAGAGAAAACUCCUAGGAGAAACAAAGACGAAUGUCUACAGAGUUUUGUUUUCUGUGGAAAAUGACUCUGUGUUUAUAUAGUUUGAUUAUUCAGUAUACUGAGGUUAAAUACAAUAGGACAUCUUGUAAAAAAUUUUUGUAGUAAUUUUAUGGAGUAGACUAAACUGCCAUUAAGAAAAGAGCCCCAAAGUACGUGGCUCCAAGGACAAUGAAGUUUAUUUGUCUCCCAGCUAACGGGGCAAGAUAAGUGCCUCAGCUUGGUGGGCAGCUCUGCGUCAGUCACUGGAGACCCAGGCUGGCAACAGUUCUGCCCUCAACAGCUGGUGUGCAGGGCUGUUCAGGUCUAGCUGGUCAAGUAGGGGAAAGAGAGGGAGUCUCCCGCCAGGGAGAUCCACUUAAGCAGGUAAGGCAAAAGUUCUUCAAACCGCUUGUACUCACAUUCCAUUGGCAAGCAUCCAGUCCCACUGCCACACCUGGCUCCGCAGACUGGAAAAUCAUGGCAGUCUCUCUAUGUGGCCUGGAAGGAAGAGGGGAAAAACAGAAAUAGUGGACAACUGC
rnacentral:lncRNA from 1 species